rnacentral:rRNA from 1 species
UACGUAGGGACCAAGCGUUGUUCGGAUUUACUGGGCGUAAAGGGCGCGUAGGCGGCAAUUCAAGUCAGCUGUGAAAUCUCUGGGCUUAACCCAGAACGGCCAGCUGAUACUGCUUUGCUAGAGUGCAGAAGGGGCAAUCGGAAUUCUUGGUGUAGCGGUGAAAUGCGUAGAUAUCAAGAGGAACACCUGAGGUGAAGACGGGUUGCUGGGCUGACACUGACGCUGAGGCGCGAAAGCGUGGGUAUCAAACAGG